UAUCAUGGUCACAAGUGAGGAGACUCAAGAGGCGCUCAUUUGUCACAAUUUACAGUCACUCAAGCAGUAAACUCUCAAAUCAAUAAUGUUUUUCAGUUUCAGCUCCUGGAAAGGUCCAGAUUAGAGCAUCAGUAGAACAGAGAGAGAGAGAGAGACAAAGGGCCCUUCUCUGGAAAGAAGCAGAGUAAUAAGGCACAUCUUCACAAAUGAUCGAAGUCCAUGCAAGAAAUGCUUCCAGGCCUAAAGAUUGAUGGGGGAUUUGAAAGAAAAGGAGAAGAAAUAUGCACAAACACUCUUCAUUUUGAGAGCACGAUGGAAAGAGCCAGCGGAGACACGGAGUCAAUGUACAAUCUUGUGCAGGCCUACUUUGAAAGCUUGAUACAAACAUGGCACUUCAGUUAGAAUGAGCAAGGGAUUGAAAAGCAGAGUGUAAUCAAGAUCUGGCUGCAUGAAGAAGAGAAGCCAAGUCAACAGGAAGCCAAAGUCCCCGAAGUACUUAAAGCACAGCUAGGAGAGAAGAUUGGACAGUAAGAUUGUAAUAAUAACGUGUGAUUAGAGGGCCGCUACCACAGUGAAUGAUCAGAGAGUCCUAUUUGACAGUGGCUUUUAAUGAAAUAAGGAGAAAAAAACUGAAGCCGAGAAAGAAUGGUUAACCUGGCUGGAGUCCCCCCAAAAUAUAACCUAGGCGGUCUGCCUCAGCAUCUGCUUUCAUAAAUGCUGAACUAACCAAGGCUCUUGCAACGGAAAAAGAGACAAGUUUAAAAAGAACAAAACUCCUUGUCAAUCCAGACACGCCACGGCUGCCCUGCAGAGAGGGAUGACUGUGCCUCUGACCCUGAGUGAAGCUACCGUCUGGACGUGCGUGCCCGAAUACCCUGGGAGGGAUGGUGAGCAGCUGCUGCCUGUUUGAUCUGAGACAGGAACUAGAAGGGGGACUUAAGCUGAGGUCAGCAGGAGCCACUGUGGUUACCAAUCCACCUGAGACCAGGGAAGAAGAGUUGAAAUCAGGGUCACGGAACACAACUGCAGUGACACACAGGAGUGGAGCCAGGCCUGAGAUGAGGCUGGAGUAAAGGGUCUGCAUGAAACUGAUGAAAUUCUACACAGAUCCUUCAACCUCUUAAUUCCGUUCCUCGGAAUUCUACUUCACACAAGUGUUCCAAGCAAACGUAACAGUCUUUCCUUCCUUGUAAAUUUUCCACCGCUCCCCACAUUUAAGAAAACAGGAUGCUUCCACCUUUUCCCCCAACCCCUUAAUCUCUUCUACUUGAAACCCCAACUGCCUCUGUCAAGCGCCUCUCUGUGCAGGACACGGCUGUUGCCUCAUGGACAAAGGCAUAAAAUCAGAGCAAAGCAGUACCAGUUGCCUGCCAUUGCUGGAGGAAGAGGUCAUCUUUCCCGACUUUUACCCCAGCCCACAAGGACUUUUCAUCCCUCCAACUUCUUUAGUGUUCCCAGCGCUGGGCAGGAAGGAUUGCCCCCAAAGUGCUCUCAGCCCUCUGGUAAUCAUCCAUGAGCCAAAUCUGCUUCAUCUUCCUUCCUAGAAACAGAAACCAGAAGCCAACCCUGGAAUCUAAAGGAAAAUCCUGAAUGUGAUUUCAUCUCUCAAACUCCUGUUGUGGUUUUCAAAAUAUGCUCCACGAGGAAUGGUUUAGAGUAGUAGGUAGAUGGAGAAUGGCUUGUAAUCCUAAAGUAUUUGUACCCUGUGCAUAUUCUAUAAAUCAACAACUGCCCCCCU